rnacentral:rRNA from 1 species
UACGGGGGGAGCAAGCGUUGUUCGGAUUUACUGGGCGUAAAGGGCGCGUAGGCGGCCACCGCAAGUCGACUGUGAAAUCUCCGGGCUUAACCCGGAAAGGUCAGCCGAUACUGCGGGGCUAGAGUGCAGAAGGGGCAACUGGAAUUCUCGGUGUAGCGGUGAAAUGCGUAGAGUAUCGAGAGGAACACCUGCGGCGAAGGCGGGUUGCUGGGCUGACACUGACGCUGAGGCGCGAAAGCCAGGGGAGCAAACGGG